GUGAGGAAUUUUGCGCAAUGGGGGAAACCCUGACGCAGCAAUACCGCGUGAGUGAAGAAGGCCCUUGGGUCGUAAAGCUCUUUUCCAAGGGAAGAUAAUGACUUAACCUUGGGAAUAAGCACCGGCUAACUCCGUGCCAGCAGCCGCGGUAAUACGGAGGGUGCAAGCGUUGUUCGGAUUUACUGGGCGUAAAGGGCGCGUAGGCGGUUUCGAUAGCUAAGGGUGAAAUCCCGGGGCUUAACCCCGGAACUGCUCGUAGAACUGCGAAACUAGAGAAGGUUAGAGGCAGAUGGAAUUCCUGGUGUAGAGGUGAAAUUCGUAGAUAUCAGGAGGAACACCGGCGGCGAAGGCGGUCUGCUGGAGCUUUUCUGACGCUAAGGCGCGAAAGCGUGGGUAGCAAACAGG
rnacentral:rRNA from 1 species